UGAAAUAUUUUGAGUGAGUGUCCUCUGA
rnacentral:sRNA from 1 species